rnacentral:rRNA from 1 species
GACGAACGCUGGCGGCGUGCUUAACACAUGCCAGUCGAACGCGCCUGUCCUCUGGGUUUCUGGGGGGUGGGUGAGUGGCGAACGGGUGAGUAACACGUGAGUAACCUGCCCCCUUCUUCGGGAUAACGGUCUGAAAGGGCUGCUAAUACCGGGUAUUCACUGGUCUCCGCAUGGGGUCUGGUGGAAAGGUUUUUUUCUGGUGGGGGAUGGGCUCGCGGCCUAUCAGCUUGUUGGUGGGGUGAUGGCCCACCAAGGCUUUGACGGGUAGCCGGCCUGAGAGGGUGACCGGUCACAUUGGGACUGAGAUACGGCCCAGACUCCUACGGGAGGCAGCAGUGGGGAAUAGUGCACAAUGGGCGCAAGCCUGAUGCAGCGACGCCGCGUGAGGGAUGGAGGCCUUCGGGUUGUGAACCUCUUUCGCCCGUGGUCAAGCCGCGACGUGGGUCGUGGUGAGGGUAGUGGGUAAAGAAGCGCCGGCUAACUACGUG